rnacentral:rRNA from 1 species
CUGCUAUCGGAUUGAUACUAAGCCAUGCGAGUCUUUGUAGUAAUACAAGGCAGACGGCUCAGUAACACGUAGUCAACCUACCCUAUGGACAAGAAUAAUCUCGGGAAACUGGGCAUAAUUCUUGAUAGAUCAUAAUGCCUGGAAUGGUUUAUGGUUAAAAUGAUUCGUCGCCAUAGGAUGGGACUGCGGCCUAUCAGCUUGUUGGUGAGGUAAUGGCCCACCAAGGCGAUUACAGGUACGGGCUCUGAGAGGAGAAGCCCGGAGAUGGGUACUGAGACACGGACCCAGGCCCUAUGGGGCGCAGCAGGCGAGAAAACUUUGCAAUGUGCGAAAGCACGACAAGGUUAAUCCGAGUGAUUUCUGCUAAAGAAAUCUUUUGCCAGUCAUAAAACCACUGGUGAAUAAGGGGUGGGCAAGUUCUGGUGUCAGCCGCCGCGGUAAAACCAGCACCUCAAGUGGUCAGGAUGAUUAUUGGGCCUAAAGCAUCCGUAGCCGGCUUUGUAAGUUUUCGGUUAAAUCCAUGUGCUCAACGCAUGGGCUGCCGAAAAUACUGCAUGGCUAGGGAGUGGGAGAGGUAGACGGUACUCAGUAGGAAGGGGUAAAAUCCUUUGAUCUAUUGAUGACCACCUGUGGCGAAGGCGGUCUACCAGAACACGUUCGACGGUGAGGGAUGAAAGCUGGGGGAGCAAACCGGAUUAGAUACCCGGGUAGUCCCAGCUGUAAACGAUGCAGACUCGAUGAUGCAUUGGCAUAAUAGCUAGUGCAGUGUCGCAGGGAAGCCGUUAAGUCUGCCGCCUGGGAAGUACGUACGCAAGUAUGAAACUUAAAGGAUUGGCGGGGGAGCACCACAAGGGUGAAGCUGCGGUUCAUUGGAGUCA